AAAGGAAAAAACAAAAAAACAUAGAAAAUCAAAACCAAGAGUGCAACGCGGGGCCCCUCCGCGGACCGCAGCGGGGAGACGCGCGCUAGGCCCUUCCGGUCGGAGUUGCCGUCUCCGGUACGCCGGGCGACGGGCCGAGCUUCCACCCGAGCCCGGGGAUUCUCGGCCUGUACUCGCGGCGUCCUAUAACCGACUUUGGCCUCAGCGGCGCCUUGGACGAUGCACACUGGUUUGCAACAGAAGCUCGGGGCGCCGCAGAGUGUCCCGAAGGAGCUGCGCGGAGCGCCGAGCCCGGGGCUGGCCGACUGAGGACGCGGCAACGGCAGUGGCCGCCCCUCCCCCACCGGGCCGCCCCAACCGCCGCUGCUCGCGUCGCAGCGGUAUCCGCGCCAGGGCCCAACCGCCCGGGCGGCCGAGGCCAAGCCAGGUGGCCUGAAGUGGCUGCGCCCGGCCUGCUCCCCACCACGACCGCGCGGAGCCGCCCAGGGCCCGUUACUCCGCGCGCCGCCACCGGUGAGGACGCGCCGCCCUCGGCUGAAGCGACCAACGGCAGCGGGAGGCCGCGGACCUGAGACUUACUCAGGGGUCGGGUGCUCGGGAUCGUAGAAAUCCCCCAUCUUCGGUGGCGGCUGCGACGGCAGCUGCUUCAUGAGGAGCAGCUGGAGGCGGCGACGCUAGCCCCCUCCCCGCGGCAGGCCGAUGCGGGGGAGGGGACCGGAGGGGAGGAGGCCGCUGGUCGGAUCGCGGCGGCGGCAGGGGCGGCCCGCGUCGCUGGCUGGCUGGCUCGCCCGCUCACUCCCUCCCUCCCUCCCUCCGGCAACCGCCCGCCGCUCUCUCCCUCACACACUCCGGGAGCAACGCGCACCCCGCCCGCCCUGCAGCCUUGCAGGCCCAGCCCCUUAAAGAGACACGCACAGGCAGCCCACCGGCCGCCAGUCGGCGCGCCAGCCCCAGCCCGCCGACCCUUGCAGGGGGCGGGUGCAACCCGGGUGCCGGGCCGGGCCUAGCCUGCGGCUUCCCGGAACAAUAAGUCCCAGGGCUGUGUGUUGUAGGCGGGUCCCGGAGCUGCCGGGCCGAGGCCCUCAGGACACCGGCCUUCUUCCCUCGGAGCCCUCCACCGCCCGAAGCCCGGGAGCCCUCGGAGAGCCCGGCCUCCAGGCUGUGAGGCAGCACCUUUGAGACAGUAUUCAGGGUUCUCUGGAGUCUGGUUUGCUGCGCACAUCCCAGGUUGGCCUCGGACUCCACGUACUAGGAUUACAAGUCACUUAACUGUUACCUGAGCCUCUCCUGGUUGCCAAGGAGGAAGGAUGGGUUGAGAGAACAAGGAGAUGGAAUCAGGACCCUCAGGCAGUACAGUCUGCUGCAGCUGGCUGAACCUGUCCUGGUCAUCUUCUCCCUGGGAAAGACCCAACCCAGCACAAUAUCUCAGCCUGGCAUCAUCAGGAUGAACCCUGGUAAGGCCUCUGCUGAGCAUCAGAACAGUCGCUUGCUGGGUUUGCAAAUCCACCCAGAGGAUCUGUAGCACAUGUGCCUGUCAGGGUCCUCACAGAUCCCUCUGUAAAGGCCACCUAGGAACUGCAGAAAGUUGGCAGUAAUAAAAGGUAUUCCUUUGUCUA